AAGUAGCUUCGUAGGUGACCUGCGUGAGGAUCAUUAGCGAAGCUCGGAAUGCGUGUUCGGUUACUGAUGCUGCCCGGCAACGGGAUGUGCUCGUCCGGACGCGUGUCCCUUCUCUAUUCCACCCCAUUGUGAACCAAGUGUGCGAGCCGAAGAGAGAUCGGAGGCCCGCAUGCAAACCCUUAACAUACCCCAUUGAAUUAUCAAAAUGUACCUUGCGUUAACUCGCACAAAUACAACUUUCAACAACGAAUCUCUGGGUUCUCGCAUCAAUAAAAAACGCACCGAAUUGCGAUAAUUAAGGUGAAUUGCAAAAUUCAUUGAAUCAUCAAAUCUUUAAACGCACCUGGCGCCCCUUGGCAUUCCAAGGGGCACGCCGGUUUAAUUGUCGGGAACUCCUCCACCCUCUACCUUUUUCGAAAGGCAUUGGGUUGGAAUUUGGAACCUUGCGGGUCCCUGGCCAAUCCGCUCUCCUUGAAUACUUUACCAAACCCUUUGCGGCCUUGGUGUGAUAGUCAUCUACCCCUCGGUUUACCAAACAUAACGGGAUUCCCUUCCAACCGUCUCGCAGAAAACAAUUCAUUACCAACUUGACCUCAAAUCAGGCGGAACUCCCCGCUAAACUUAACCAUAUCAUAAGCCGGGAGAAA
rnacentral:rRNA from 1 species